GAGGGAAACCGAGUCUUAACCGGGCGUUAAGUUGCAGGGUAUAGACCCGAAACCCGGUGAUCUAGCCAUGGGCAGGUUGAAGGUUGGGUAACACUAACUGGAGGACCGAACCGACUAAUGUUGAAAAAUUAGCGGAUGACCUGUGGCUGGGGGUGAAAGGCCAAUCAAACCGGGAGAUAGCUGGUUCUCCCCGAAAGCUAUUUAGGUAGCGCCUCGUGAAUUCAUCUCCGGGGGUAGAGCACUGUUUCGGCUAGGGGGCCAUCCCGGCUUACCAACCCGAUGCAAACUGCGAAUACCGGAGAAUGUUAUCACGGGAGACACACGGCGGGUGCUAACGUCCGUCGUGAAGAGGGAAACAACCCAGACCGCCAGCUAAGGUCCCAAAGUCAUGGUUAAGUGGGAAACGAUGUGGGAAGGCCCAGACAGCCAGGAUGUUGGCUUAGAAGCAGCCAUCAUUUAAAGAAAGCGUAAUAGCUCACUGGUCGAGUCGGCCUGCGCGGAAGAUGUAACGGGGCUAAACCAUGCACCGAAGCUGCGGCAGCGACGCUGAUGCGUUGUUGGGUAGGGGAGCGUUCUGUAAGCCUGCGAAGGUGUGUCGUGAGGCAUGCUGGAGGUAUCAGAAGUGCGAAUGCUGACAUAAGUAACGAUAAAGCGGGUGAAAAGCCCGCUCGCCGGAAGACCAAGGGUUCCUGUCCAACGUUAAUCGGGGCAGGGUGAGUCGACCCCUAAGGCGAGGCCGAAAGGCGUAGUCGAUGGGAAACGGGUUAAUAUUCCCGUACUUGGUGUUACUGCGAAGGGGGGACGGAGAAGGCUAUGUUGGCCGGGCGACGGUUGUCCCGGUUUAAGCGUGUAGGUGUGUGUUCCAGGUAAAUCCGGUUCACUUUAACACUGAGGCGUGAUGACGAGGCACUACGGUGCUGAAGCAACAAAUGCCCUGCUUCCAGGAAAAGCCUCUAAGCAUCAGGUAACAUCAAAUCGUACCCCAAACCGACACAGGUGGUCAGGUAGAGAAUACCAAGGCGCUUGAGAGAACUCGGGUGAAGGAACUAGGCAAAAUGGUGCCGUAACUUCGGGAGAAGGCACGCUGACACGUAGGUGAAGUGAUUUACUCAUGGAGCUGAAGUCAGUCGAAGAUACCAGCUGGCUGCAACUGUUUAUUAAAAACACAGCACUGUGCAAACACGAAAGUGGACGUAUACGGUGUGACGCCUGCCCGGUGCCGGAAGGUUAAUUGAUGGGGUCAGCGCAAGCGAAGCUCCUGAUCGAAGCCCCGGUAAACGGCGGCCGUAACUAUAACGGUCCUAAGGUAGCGAAAUUCCUUGUCGGGUAAGUUCCGACCUGCACGAAUGGCGUAAUGAUGGCCAGGCUGUCUCCACCCGAGACUCAGUGAAAUUGAACUCGCUGUGAAGAUGCAGUGUACCCGCGGCAAGACGGAAAGACCCCGUGAACCUUUACUAUAGCUUGACACUGAACAUUGAGCCUUGAUGUGUAGGAUAGGUGGGAGGCUUUGAAGUGUGGACGCCAGUCUGCAUGGAGCCGGCCUUGAAAUACCACCCUUUAAUGUUUGAUGUUCUAACGUGGACCCGUGAUCCGGGUUGCGGACAGUGUCUGGUGGGUAGUUUGACUGGGGCGGUCUCCUCCUAAAGAGUAACGGAGGAGCACGAAGGUUGGCUAAUCCUGGUCGGACAUCAGGAGGUUAGUGCAAUGGCAUAAGCCAGCUUGACUGCGAGCGUGACGGCGCGAGCAGGUGCGAAAGCAGGUCAUAGUGAUCCGGUGGUUCUGAAUGGAAGGGCCAUCGCUCAACGGAUAAAAGGUACUCCGGGGAUAACAGGCUGAUACCGCCCAAGAGUUCAUAUCGACGGCGGUGUUUGGCACCUCGAUGUCGGCUCAUCACAUCCUGGGGCUGAAGUAGGUCCCAAGGGUAUGGCUGUUCGCCAUUUAAAGUGGUACGCGAGCUGGGUUUAGAACGUCGUGAGACAGUUCGGUCCCUAUCUGCCGUGGGCGCUGGAGAACUGAGGGGGGCUGCUCCUAGUACGAGAGGACCGGAGUGGACGCAUCACUGGUGUUCGGGUUGUCAUGCCAAUGGCACUGCCCGGUAGCUAAAUGCGGAAGAGAUAAGUGCUGAAAGCAUCUAAGCACGAAACUUGCCCCGAGAUGAGUUCUCCCUGAGACUUAGAGUCUCCUGAAGGAACGUUGAAGACGACGACGUUGAUAGGCCGGGUGUGUAAGCGCAGCGAUGCGUUGAGCUAACCGGUACUAAUGAACCGUGAGGCUUAACCUU
rnacentral:rRNA from 1 species